rnacentral:rRNA from 1 species
GUAUGCAGCUAUAGCACCCUGAGAAUGCCCCAUCUCAUCUGAUCUGGGAAGCUAAGCAGGGUCGGCCCCGGUCAGCGCUUGGAUGGGAGACCAGGAAGCCAAUGGGACC